rnacentral:tRNA from 2 species
GCCUUGGUAGUUAAGUGGUUAUAACACUGGCCUGUCGCGCCGGAGUCCCGGGUUCGAUUCCCGGUCAGGGCG